GUUAUAUGGUCAAGUAGAAAAGCGCACACGGUGGAUGCCUUGGCGAUAACAGGCGAUGAAGGACGUGAUAGCCUGCGAAAAGCUGCGGCGAGUUGGCAAAUAAACAUUGACCCGCAGAUGUCCGAAUGGGGAAACCCACUCCUUUGGAGUAUUCUUAUCUGAAUCUAUAGGGUAAGAAAGCAAACCUAGGGAACUGAAACAUCUAAGUACCUAGAGGAAAAGAAAUCAACCGAGAUUCCGUCAGUAGUGGCGAGCGAAAGCGGAACAGCCCGUAUGAUAUAGUCGUAUUAUGAGCAGAAUGGUCUGGAAAGUCCAGCGACACAGGGUGAUAGCCCCGUAGGCAAACAUAAAACGAUAGAACUAAGCAUACAUAGAGUAAGGCGGGACACGAGAAAUCCUGUCUGAACAUGGGGGGCCCAUCCUCCAAGGCUAAAUACUCGUUAUCGACC
rnacentral:rRNA from 2 species